rnacentral:rRNA from 1 species
AUACGGAGGAUCCGAGCGUUAUCCGGAUUUAUUGGGUUUAAAGGGUGCGCAGGCGGCCAUUUAAGUCAGCGGUUAAAUCGUGGGGCUCAACCCCAUUCUGCCGUUGAUACUGGGUGGCUUGAUUGCGGUCGAGGUUGGCGGAAUUCGUUGUGUAGCGGUGAAAUGCAUAGAUAUGACGAAGAACACCGAUUGCGUAGGCAGCUGACCAGACCGCAAAUGACGCUCAUGCACGAAAGUGCGGGGAUCGAACAGGAUUAGAUACCCUGGUAGUCCGCACAGUAAACGAUGAAUACUUGUUUUCGGCGAUAUAAUGUCGGAGGCAAAGCGAAAGCGAUAAGUAUUCCACCUGGGGGGUACGCCGGCAACGGUGAAACUCAAAUGAAUUGACGGGG